rnacentral:rRNA from 1 species
GACGAACGCUGGCGGCGUGCUUAACACAUGCAAGUCGAACGGAAAGGCCCUGCUUUUGUGGGGUGCUCGAGUGGCGAACGGGUGAGUAACACGUGAGUAACCUGCCCUUGACUUUGGGAUAACUUCAGGAAACUGGGGCUAAUACCGGAUAGGAGCUCCUGCUGCAUGGUGGGGGUCGGAAAGUUUCGGCGGUUGGGGAUGGACUCGCGGCUUAUCAGCUUGUUGGUGGGGUAGUGGCUUACCAAGGCUUUGACGGGUAGCCGGCCUGAGAGGGUGACCGGCCACAUUGGGACUGAGAUACGGCCCAGACUCCUACGGGAGGAAGCAGUGGGGAAUAGUGCACAAUGGGCGGAAGCCUGAGGCAGCAACGCCGCGUGCGGGAUGACGGCCUUCGGGUUGUAAACCGCUUUCGCCUGUGACGAAGCGUGAGUGACGGUAAUGGGUAAAGAAGCACCGGCUAACUACGUG